UGACUAGAUAAUUGAAUGCUCUUCCAUGAUUGCCUUUUAAAAGUGAAUUCUGUUGUCUAUACAUUCCAACCCUAACACAUAUUCCACCUUUGAUCUUGGACUUCCUUAAUUCCCAACUGCCUGCUGGACAAUUCUUCUUAGCUAACUCCAAGCAUGAUAUGUCUGAAUCUGAGUGUCUUUCUUGGGUCCCCUGUUUUUAUUGAUGAUAGCAUCUUUCUUCUAGUCACCUGGAUUUAAAAAUUCUGCAUAGACCUCAGAGCUCGAAAAUAUCUCUGGUACCCCUUCCUAACUCAGAGCUUAGUGGUUCAGACCACAGCUAGUUAAAUAGUUAGUUAAUUAUAUAACUCCUCACAGUUAUUUAAUUUCUUUGAGCCGUUGUUUCCUUACAAAAUUCCUAUCACCUUGGCAUUGUUUUUGAGAAUUAUGUCAGCUAUGCAUGAAAGUGCUUGGUGUGGUACAUACGGCACAUGGUACAUGCUGAAUACGUUGUCUGCCUACAGUUGCAAUUUCCAGUGAGUCACGGAGAAUUGCUAGCAUUUUUGAGCUUUCCCAUUGUUUCCAGCCAGGCAGUUCCCACCCCGCCUCGUCCAGGUUUUCAGCGUGCUUGGAUGGUUGCAGCAGUACCAUCCACUCCUGCUCCUGCAGGGCUCCAGCAGUCGGCAGGUGGUGGUCCCAAGAGUCUUCUCUCAAGGAACUGUGAUGACUUUCUUAGCUGAGCUGGUCAAGUCCGGACCCUUCAGUCUGACAUUGAAAUUUUUGGACAGUCUGAUCCUCACCAACGUUUCUAGCCUUAUUGUGGACUCUUACUGUCCUGCAUGAAUUCCUAGGCACUGUCUCUUCACACUUUCCAUCUCCUCAACUUGUCGUAGUGUGGACUCUCUUCUCUCUCUCCUUUUCCUUCUGUCUCGAAUCCCUAUCAAUUAAGACCCCCUGGUUCUUGUUUUCCAUGAACAUUUUCCUGGACCCUUUCUUGUGACAUUGCUCUAUCGGAUUAAUCCGUGAAUUUCCCUCCCUCACUCACUGCCUGCUGCGACACUAAGCCAUGAUGGCAAUGCCAAUGCUUCUUUAAUUGGUAUUUAAAUACUGCCCAAAGUUUCCAGAUUUUUUUUUUUUAAUAACUUAAAUCUCAAAAUAAUGCUGGAAGGUGGCAUUCCUGUCUUGGCCCAGUGGUUAACGAAUCCGACUGGGAACCAUGAAGUUUCGGGUUCAGUCCCUGGCCUUGCUCAGUGGGUUAAGGAUCCAGAAGUUGCCAUGAGCUGUUGGUGUAGGUUGCAGAUGGCAGUUCAGAUCCCGUGUGGCUGUGGCUGUGGUGUAGGCUGGUGGCUACAGCUCUGAUCGGACCCCCAGCCUGGGAACCU
rnacentral:lncRNA from 1 species